GACGAACGCUGGCGGCGUGCUUAGCACAUGCAAGUCGAACGGAAAGGCCCUGCUUUUGUGGGGUGCUCGAGUGGCGAACGGGUGAGUAACACGUGAGUAACCUGCCCUUGACUUUGGGAUAACUUCAGGAAACUGGGGCUAAUACCGGAUAGGAGCUCCUGCUGCAUGGUGGGGGUUGGAAAGUUUCGGCGGUUGGGGAUGGACUCGCGGCUUAUCAGCUUGUUGGUGGGGUAGUGGCUUACCAAGGCUUUGACGGGUAGCCGGCCUGAGAGGGUGACCGGCCACAUUGGGACUGAGAUACGGCCCAGACUCCUACGGGAGGCAGCAGUGGGGAAUAUUGCACAAUGGGCGGAAGCCUGAUGCAGCAACGCCGCGUGCGGGAUGACGGCCUUCGGGUUGUAAACCGCUUUCGCCUGAGACGAAGCGUGAGUGACGGUAAUGGGUAAAGAAGCACCGGCUAACUACGUG
rnacentral:rRNA from 1 species